rnacentral:rRNA from 1 species
UGAGUACGAGAUGCUACGGCAUCGAAGCAGCCUAUGUCAUACUUCCAAGAAAAGCUUGCACUGUCAGAAACAGAUAAUGCCUGUACCAUAACCGACACAGGUGGGUAGGUAGAGUAUACUAAGGGGCGCGAGAUAACUCUCUCUAAGGAACUCGGCAAAAUGACUCCGUAACUUCGGGAGAAGGAGUGCCUUAUUUUUAAGGUUGCAAUAACAAGAUCCAAGCAACUGUUUACCAAAAACACAGGUCUCCGCUAAGUCGUAAGACGAUGUAUGGGGGCUGACGCCUGCCCAGUGCCAGAAGGUUAAAGAAGUCGGUUAGCAUUCGCGAAGCUGGUAACUGAAGCCCUGGUGAACGGCGGCCGUAACAAUAACGGUCCUAAGGUAGCGAAAUUCCUUGUCGGGUAAGUUCCGACCCGCACGAAAGGCGUAAUGAUUUGGAUACUGUCUCGGAGAGGGGCUCGGUGAAAUAGACUUGUCUGUGAAGAUGCGGACUACCUGCACCUGGACAGAAAGACCCUAUGAAGCUUUACUGUAACUUGAAAUUGAAAUUGGACUUUAUUUGCGCAGUAUAGGUGGGAGGCGUUGAAAAUAUUCUUGCGGGAAUAUUGGAGCCAUCAGUGAGAUACCACUCUUGUAAUGUUAGAUUUCUAACUUUAUAUCAUUAUCUGGUUAAAGAACAGUUUCAGGCGGGCAGUUUGACUGGGGCGGUCGCCUCCCAAAUGGUAACGGAGGCGCACAAAGGUUUCCUCUGAACGGGUAGAAAUCGUAUCUAGAGUGUAAAGGCAUAAGGAAGCUUGACUGUGAGACCUACAAGUCGAGCAGGGACGAAAGUCGGUCUUAGUGAUCUGACGGUGCUGAGUGGAAAGGCCGUCACUCAACGGAUAAAAGUUACUCUAAGGAUAACAGGCUGAUCUCCCCCAAGAGUUCACAUCGACGGGGAGGUUUGGCACCUCGAUGUCGGCUCAUCGCAUCCUGGGGCGGUAGUACGUCCCAAGGGUUGGGCUGUUCGCCCAUGAAAGCGGUACGCGAGCUGGGUUCAGAACGUCGUGAGACAGUUCGGUCCAUAUCCGGUGUAGGCGUUAGAAUAUUGAGAGGAGCCUUCUUUAGUACGAGAGGACCGAGAAGGACAUACCUCUGGUGUACCAGUUAUCGUGCCAACGGUAAACGCUGGGUAGCUAUGUAUGGAGUGGAUAACCGCUGAAAGCAUCUAAGUGGGAAGCCCACCUCAAGAUAAGUA